rnacentral:lncRNA from 1 species
UGUCUGACAACUCAAGAACCAAUAGGAAUCGUCACACUAAAUAUCUUUUAUCUUGGACAAUGCAGAUCUUACAGUUUCAACGUAACAAAACAGGGUAACAAUUAUGAAUUAAGGAUGAACGAGACGGUUGAAGGGAUAAAACUGUGGAAGACAAAUGAUAAUUGUCUGCCAUCUCUUCUGAAUUCACAAGAAAUUAUGACUUGCCAAAGUGGCAUAAUAUGCACCAGCAGGUUAAUUCCAAAC